CCCUUUUCUCCGGAAUAGCCCUGGGAAACCGGGAGUAAUGCCGGAUACGCCCUCGGGGAGUGGAUCCUCGUGGGGAAAGAUUGAUCGGGGAAGGAUCGGCCCGCGUCGGAUUAGGUAGUUGGUGGGGUAACGGCCUACCAAGCCGACGAUCCGUAGCUGGUUUGAGAGGAUGAUCAGCCACACUGGGACUGAGACACGGCCCAGACUCCUACGGGAGGCAGCAGUGGGGAAUCUUGGACAAUGGGGGCAACCCUGAUCCAGCCAUGCCGCGUGAGCGAUGAAGGCCUUAGGGUUGUAAAGCUCUUUCAGCGGGGAAGAUAAUGACGGUACCCGCAGAAGAAGCCCCGGCUAACUCCGUGCCAGCACCCGC
rnacentral:rRNA from 1 species